CAGCAGCCGCGGUAAUACGUAGGGGGCGAGCGUUGUCCGGAAUUACUGGGCGUAAAGGGUGCGUAGGUGGCCUAGCAAGUCAGAUGUGAAAUCCCCGGGCUUAACUCGGGGGGUGCAUUUGAAACUGCCAGGCUUGAGUGCAGGAGAGGAAAGCGGAAUUCCUAGUGUAGCGGUGAAAUGCGUAGAUAUUAGGAGGAACACCAGUGGCGAAGGCGGCUUUCUGGACUGUAACUGACACUGAGGCACGAAAGCGUGGGGAGCAAACAGGAUUAGAUACCCUGGUAGUCCACGCGGUAAACGAUGGAUACUAGGUGUGGGGGAGAUACAACCUCCGUGCCGCAGCUAACGCAAUAAGUAUCCCGCCUGGGGAGUACGGUCGCAAGACUGAAACUCAAAGGAAUUGACGG
rnacentral:rRNA from 1 species